rnacentral:lncRNA from 1 species
GGCAGAAUGAUCAUGCCUGGAGCUGCCAUAGUGAUCCUGGAGACAACGACCUGUGCAAUGCCCUUCACCGCUGCUCUCCUGGAAUGCCCAAGCUCGUUGUUGUCCUCAUCGGUCACUGAGAUCCCACGGAUGAUCUCCUGUUGCCUCAUCAUUGGGAUGUUCACACAGUUGGCAGCAGCUACAGCGGCAAAAGGGACCCAGCGGGCGAGCAAGGGAGGAGCACGCUUGGUGUAGAGGUUGAGUCCCACAGCAGUGGCCAGGGCUGUCGUGGUGGCCGUGACAUAAGCCACUCCUAUUUGCCUGGUGAUUUGCAACAGAUGCAUGGAAAUAUAAAACAAAACAGCCAGAGAGAUGGGGGAUGCGGCGU